rnacentral:rRNA from 2 species
UACGGAGGAGGCAAGCGUUAUCCGGAAUUAUUGGGCGUAAAGCGUCCGUAGGUGGUUGUUCAAGUCUUCUGUCAAAGCGCGGAGCUUAACUCCGUAAAGGCAGAGGAAACUGAGCGGCUAGAGUGCGAUAGGGGCAGAGGGAAUUCCCAGUGUAGCGGUGAAAUGCGUAGAUAUUGGGAAGAACACCGGUGGCGAAAGCGCUCUGCUGGGUCUGCACUGACACUGAGGGACGAAAGCUAGGGGAGCGAAAGGG